UAGGGAAUCUUCGGCAAUGGGGGGAACCCUGACCGAGCAACGCCGCGUGAGUGAAGAAGGUUUUCGGAUCGUAAAGCUCUGUUGUUAAGGAAGAACGAGUGUGAGAAUGGAAAGUUCAUACUGUGACGGUACUUAAACAGAAAGGGACGGCUAACUACGUGCCAGCAGCCGCGGUAAUACGUAGGUCCCGAGCGUUGUCCGGAUUUAUUGGGCGUAAAGCGAGCGCAGGCGGUUAGAUAAGUCUGAAGUUAAAGGCAGUGGCUCAACCAUUGUAGGCUUUGGAAACUGUUUAACUUGAGUGCAGAAGGGGAGAGUGGAAUUCCAUGUGUAGCGGUUAAAUGCGUAGAUAUAUGGAGGAACACCAGUGGCGAAGGCGACUCUCUGGUCUGUAACUGACGCUGAGGCUCGAAAGCGUGGGUAGCAAACAGG
rnacentral:rRNA from 1 species